CCUACGGGAGGCAGCAGUGGGGAAUAUUGGGCAAUGGGCGCAAGCCUGACCCAGCAACGCCGCGUGAAGGAAGAAGGCUUUCGGGUUGUAAACUUCUUUUCUCAGGGACGAAGCAAGUGACGGUCCCUGAGGAAUAAGCCACGGCUAACUACGUGCCAGCAGCCGCGGGAAUACGUAGGUGGCAAGCGUUAUCCGGAUUUGCUGGGUGUAAAGGGCGUGUAGGCGGGACUGCAAGUCAGAUGUGAAAACCACGGGCUUCACCUGUGGCGUGCAUUUGAAACUGUAGUUCUUGAGUACUGGAGAGGCAGGCGGAAUGCGUAGUGUAGCGGUGAAAUGCGUAGAUAUUACGAGGAACACCAGUUGCGAAGGCGGCAUGCUGG
rnacentral:rRNA from 1 species